AGAGAGAGAGAGAGAGAGGAGUAGAGAUGACAAACUAGGUUUUUACUACAAGCCUUCCAGAUUUAGAUACUUAAAAUUCCAUUAUUAAAACAAAAAAAAAUCUAUGAAAUAGCAAGGUUAUAUGUAGAUUUUAUGGACUACCUUUUAACUACGACCACUGCUUCAUAACAGAAAAACACCUAAUUACUAUUAUUAAGCCUGGACCUACCUGACAGAUUGACCCUGUAAACCGGUGACCUGGAUAUAAAAUUGGGCUGGUUCUCUAAUUGAACCAGAUAAGGAGUUGGCCUAGAAUGACCCAGAAAAAACUAAAUGACUUGGUGGUGAACUAGUGACCCGUUGACCUAGUGAUCUUGACGCGCUCGAUCUAAAAUUUUCUAAUUUAAAAAUUUUUUAAAAUAUCAAUUAUAUUGAUGUUUUAAUAUUUAAAAAAUUUAAAUUUAUAUUUAGUCAAUGAAUAAUAUUUCAUUUAGAAAAAAUUUAAAUUUAUAUUUAGUCAAUGAAUAAUAUUUCAUUUAG
rnacentral:misc_RNA from 1 species